GAUGAACGCUGACAGAAUGCUUAACUCAUCAGCAAUUGAUUGGUGGCGGACGGGUGAGUAACGCGUAAAGAACUUGCCUCACAGCUAGGGACAACAUUUGGAAACGAAUGCUAAUACCUAAUCCUGUGAGAGAGCUUUGCGUCCCAUUAGCUAGUUGGAGAGGUAACGGCUCACCAAGGCGAGGAUGGGUAGCCAGCCUGAGAGGGUGAUCGGGCACAAGGUGACUGGGACACGGCCCUUAGGCCAACUGGAGGAAGGGGUGGUGAAUAUUGGACAAUAGACCAAAGUCUGAUCCAGCAAUUCUGUGUGCACGAUGAAGUUGUCGGAAUGUAAAGUGCUUUCAGUUGGGAAGCGGUACCAACAGAAGAAGUGACGGCUAAAUACGUGCCAGCAGCCGCGGUAAUUC
rnacentral:rRNA from 1 species